rnacentral:lncRNA from 1 species
CCUGAAAUUUUCCACCUCAGAAGGUGUUUGGUGAUACAAGGUAAUGAAGCUGAUGCCAGGACCUGUAACAUCAACCCACCUGUCAACAUGUUACAAGGCACAUCAAUCGAGCCUAAGAAGCUAAGUCGAAAAGGCCCAUUUUGGCCAACCUAACCUAUAUAGGUAUCACAUAUAGACAUUGAAAAAACCAAAAGAUGAUGACCUUUCUUUUAAUGAGGUUGAAGUUGAUCCUCACCUUUCUCUAGGUGUCUUAGUGUCGAAUGGGUAAACAUAAACAUACUAUAUACAAGUAUCCACAACUAGAUAGGCUUUCCAUUGCAUUUCUUACAACUUUACUCAAGUGCCCUUAAUGGAUUAAAUGUCAUACUCAUAUGCCCAAAUGAAAGGUCAAACUAAUUGUUAAGGUAGGAGUAUCUCCUUGAAGAGCUAAAGUGGCAAAGUUCGUAAUGAUUAGCUCUCCUUCACACUACAAUGCCAUCUAGGGACAAUCCCUGUUCUCCGAUUUGAAAGCAAUCAUUUUGAUGUACACUGUCUACUAAAGUUUUCCACCCUUGUGGAAUAGGAAAAUUUAAGAAAAAUAGAGAUAUUCUGAAGAAGUUUUGCUUCACAAAUAUUGGUCAAAUUAAACAUUGAGGCAACACCCUUUUACCCUGGGUACACAUGAUGUGACAAUCAAUCAUAAUCACAUUUUGCUAGAUCCUAGAAUGAUAGAGUAUGUAUGAUAUGAGAGCUGAACUUAGAGAAAAGCUAGAUAAGUUUUACGUCAGUACAGAUCACUCCCAAAAGAACUUUGAAUUAGACAGGAGCUAUAGCAAUCUCUUCGAUCCUAGCUGAAAGAGUUCUUCCAUCAAAACUUGGACGCAUUCGCCAAAGUCACCAAGAUAUGUAAGGUAUCAAUCCCAUUAAACGUCAAAAGAUAUGAUGCAUUACGUAAAGUAGUCGAGAAACUUCUUGACAAUAGAUUCAUCAAAGAAGAGAUUUAUCCUAAAUGGAUUGUAAAUCCAAUGAUGGUUAGAAAACAACGAGGAUUGGAAAGGCUACAUUGAUUUCACCGACCUCAAAAGAUACCUAUGUACGAACCCGAUCAAGAACAUACAUCAUUUAUUACUGACCGAUGUCUAUAGUGUUACAAAAUGAUACCUUUUGGCCUUAAGAAUGCUAGAGCAACAUAUUGAUGCCUUCUCAACAUUAUGUUCGCUAAACUAAUAGGCUCUAUAGAGGUUUUAUGUGGAAGACAUGUUGGUAAAAAGCACAUUGGCCAAAGACCACGUACAACACCAAUUAGAGAUGUUCAAAAUCAUUCAUAAAUAUAAAAUGAUACUCAAUCCACUUAAGUACACAUAUGGUGUAAGCUCCGAAAAAUUCUUAAGUUAUGUAGUACAUCAACAAAGAAUCAAGGCCAAUCCAGAAUAGAUAAGAGGAGUCAUCGAAAUGAAAGCUUCCACUUGACCUUAGGAGUUCAAAAGCCUCAUUGGAAAUUCUACUUGCACUCAUCAAUUUUGUCUCUAAGGCAAUCGAUUGAUGUAAGCCCUUCAUCAAUAUACUUAGAGGGGGAAAGAAAAUUAAUUGGCUGAAAAGAAUGUUAAGAGGCCUUCGAAAAGGACUUAAAAAGCAGCUAGCCCAACGACCUAUUAUGUCCAAGCCAAAAGCUGAUGAAAUUCUUUUAUAUAUUUAGCCAUCUCUAAGCACGCCAUUAGUGAUGUACUGAUAAUGGAAGAAAUAAGAUAAAAUACCAUGUGUAUUAUGUUAGCUAGGCUCUUCUUGAUGGUGAACUAUGUCACUCUGCUAUGGAAAAAUUGGCAUACGUCGUGGUCAUAUCUACAAGAAAGCUAUGGUUGUACUUUUUGGAACAUCCUAUAGAGGCCUUGACUAACUAUCAAUUAAGGCAAGUCCAACAAAAAUCAGAUACUUCAGGUCGGAUGGUCGAGUAGACAAUGUAACAAGGUUAAUUUGACAUACCCUACAAGCCAAGAGCUACCAUCAAAGGACAGACACCUGCUUAUUUCAUAGUUAUGCUUAACCCAAACUUCGUAAAGGCCAACAAACGGAAGACAUCCCUUGAUAGUAUUAUUAAGAAUGACCAAUUACCUUCGACCUAAGCAAAUUCGAUUUCACUAAAAUAAAAUAAUUCCCUAUAUCCAUAACAGUUGUGCAAACGCCUUAGUUGAACUCGCAACAAAUGAAAGAGUAGAAGAGUUCUAUAGCCACUAAGGAGAAUCCAACAUUCGGCCAUCGAGAAACGUGAGAUCAUCGCUAUGACCAUCGAUUUUCUAAAUGAAGGAAAGAUUCCAUCAAGUUAACAAAUACCCAAAAGUUGAUAUUAAGGUAAACGAGAUAUACCUUUAUUGACAAUGUCCUCUAUAGAGGAGGAUAUAUAGCUCCACUUUAAAAUGACUCAUCAAAGAGGAAGAACAUUAUACUCUUCAAGAAUUGUAUGAAGCUUAGGGACAAUCUCUAGUCGAUAAGAUCCUAAGGUAAGGAUACUUUUGGAUGACUAUGAAAUGAGAUGUCUUGAAUUUCUUAAUGAG